rnacentral:rRNA from 1 species
AUACUAAAGUAGUAAUAGUUAUAUGCUUGAAACUUAAAGAAUUUGGCGGUAUUUUAAUCUUUUCAGAGGAACCUGUUCUAUGAUCGAUAUUCCACGUUAAAUUUUACUAAAUUAUUUGUAUAUCGUUGUCGAAAGAAUAUAAUUUUCAAAUAUUAUAUUUAUAAUAGAUGUCAAAUCAAGGUGCAGUUUAUAAUUUAGUAGAAAUGGGUUACAAUAAAAAUAUUUAGAAUUUUAAUGAAGGUGGAUUUGAAAGUAAAUUAAUUUUAAUAAAUUUAAUUGAUUAUAGUUCUAAAAUAUGU